rnacentral:rRNA from 1 species
AGAGUUUGAUCAUGGCUCAGAUUGAACGCUGGCGGCAGGCCUAACACAUGCAAGUCGAGCGGUAGAGAGGUGCUUGCACCUCUUGAGAGCGGCGGACGGGUGAGUAAAGCCUAGGAAUCUGCCUGGUAGUGGGGGAUAACGCUCGGAAACGGACGCUAAUACCGCAUACGUCCUACGGGAGAAAGCAGGGGACCUUCGGGCCUUGCGCUAUCAGAUGAGCCUAGGUCGGAUUAGCUAGUUGGUGAGGUAAUGGCUCACCAAGGCGACGAUCCGUAACUGGUCUGAGAGGAUGAUCAGUCACACUGGGACUGAGACACGGUCCAGACUCCUACGGGAGGCAGCAGUGGGGAAUAUUGGACAAUGGGCGAAAGCCUGAUCCAGCCAUGCCGCGUGUGUGAAGAAGGUCUUCGGAUUGUAAAGCACUUUAAGUUGGGAGGAAGGGCAGUAAAUUAAUACUUUGCUGUUUUGACGUUACCGACAGAAUAAGCACCGGCUAACUCUGUGCCAGCAGCCGCGGUAAUACAGAGGGUGCAAGCGUUAAUCGGAAUUACUGGGCGUAAAGCGCGCGUAGGUGGUUAGUUAAGUUGGAUGUGAAAUCCCCGGGCUCAACCUGGGAACUGCAUUCAAAACUGACUGACUAGAGUAUGGUAGAGGGUGGUGGAAUUUUCUGUGUAGCGGUGAAAUGCGU